GAUGAACGCUGGCGGCGUGCCUAAUACAUGCAAGUCGAGCGAACAGACGAGGAGCUUACUCCUCUGACGUUAGCGGCGGACGGGUGAGUAACACGUGGAUAACCUACCUAUAAGACUGGGAUAACUUCGGGAAACCGGAGCUAAUACCGGAUAACAUGUUGAACCGCAUGGUUCAACAGUGAAAGACGGUCUUGCUGUCACUUAUAGAUGGAUCCGCGUCGCAUUAGCUAGUUGGUAAGGUAACGGCUUACCAAGGCAACGAUGCGUAGCCGACCUGAGAGGGUGAUCGGCCACACUGGAACCGAGACACGGUCCAGACUCCUACGGGAGGCAGCAGUAGGGAAUCUUCCGCAAUGGGCGAAAGCCUGACGGAGCAACGCCGCGUGAGUGAAGAAGGUCUUCGGAUCGUAAAACUCUGUUAUUAGGGAAGAACAAAUGUGUAAGUAACUAUGCACGUCUUGACGGUACCUAAUCAGAAAGCCACGGCUAACUACGUG
rnacentral:rRNA from 1 species